AUCCAGCUGACGAGUCCCAAAUAGGACGAAAUGCUUGCCAAACUGGAU
rfam:Schistosoma rodhaini strain Burundi genome assembly, scaffold: SROB_scaffold0006714